rnacentral:lncRNA from 1 species
AUGACCAUUGGAUUGAGUCAAGAGACACCAUGGAAGGGAGAAGAGGAGCCUGAGAGAUUUCUGGAACUUCUUAGAGUUAUAGCAGCUUCACAUAUGGGGAAACAGGCUGGGAGCUCUUCAGCAUGGCCAGGACACAUUGACACAAGGGCUGAAGCCAGGCACACCAAGGGAGGACAUCCGAGGUUUGGGAAGCCUGCUAGGAUUCAGUGCCUUGUUGAGCAAAAGAGAAGAGAAGCCAACACUGGUAGAAUGGAGAAUCGCUGAUUAUGACAGCAGCCUGCUCAGCUGUACGGAGCCACCACGUUGAUAAAGCAGGAGGAGAGAAGGCGAGCACUCCAAAUUACUGCUGGAAGCUUGGCUGUUUCUCUAAGUCUCAGCUGGCUUCCACCCCUCAUUGCUGCACUGGUGGUGUCCCUUCCAUCUUUUUAAAUGCACAGACCACAGCUUCUGAUACCAGAGAAAAGAAGCGGGUUUAUACAAAGCUUAUUUGUUGAAAGUAUUCUUAAGGAUGACUCUCAGCACGGUAUCUGCUCUAUUUGUUUACAUUCUUGGUAGGGAUUUUUUUUCGCUUCUACUCUCAAUUUCUCCUUGUACAGGAGAAGCCAAGCUGAUAGUUGCUAAAAGACACAAAGUGAUGAAUUUGAUUUUAGUUUAUACCAAGCUUCAGUCAAACUGACAAUACAGACUUGAAAUUAAUUGCAAAAAAUUUAAACUCCAUUAAUGAUGCAGAGCUCCCAAAAGCCAAACAAGAUUUUUUUUAACUCCCUUCAGCAUAGCUGGCCGGUUAUAUAACACACAUUUGUUCUAAAAUUACUGCAGAAAUUACUGAAAAAGCCAUGGCAGACAUCUCCAGCAUCUUCCUAAUGAAUUAAUUAUUGCUUUUGUUUUUCUCACAGUAUCCUGAGCAUUAUCAACAUUUCUGUCUAAAAAUAAAAUAACACUAUUUUCUAUAUUAUAAGAAUUUCUCAGUACAUUUGAACCUUAUAAGAACCUUAUGAUAUGCACAUUAUAAUUCUCAUUUUGCAGUGGAGACAAGAUCAGUGAAGUUAAGUGCUUUAUCCAAGGACACACAGCCAGUAAACCAAUAAAACCAGAUUCUCAAUUUUUGUACACUGA